GCACACUUUAUUAUGACCUUGAUUGUAAAAUAAAGAAAAGCCCAGCCUGAGGGGCUUAAAUAAAUCCAUCGAAUUGUCCCAAUACAACCUUUGUGCAUAAAUCACUCAAAGCUGCACGAGCUAUAUGUGAGAUCUGAUGAACAAGUCAAAAGGUCGGACAUUAGUUUGACGGGUGGAACUGAAAACAAUCGUAAAGAAUAGAAAAUGAUGCAGAAGAAAAGCCUACGACGGCCUGAUAGUAGCAUGUUUCACGGAAGCAGAUGGCAUCACCGGUUAUAACCAGUAUCAAGUAAACGACAGAUCGAGUUAGGAAAAAACUAGGAACACGUACCAAUUCCGACUGAAUGGUGCAAAUACAACAUGUAUUUAGAACGGCGGAGCCUGAUCCAACUGCAGACAGUACUGAUCUAUGCCUUCAAACUUAGAUUGACAAAUGAAAGGUCUAGUGACGAUAAAACACUCGCACGUGCCGAUGAGAGCAU